CUUUAUCACUACCCGAAGGAGUCUCAAAGCGGCUCACAAUCUCCUUUCCCUUCCUCCCCUACAACAAACACUCUGUGAGGUGAGUGGGGCUGAGAGACUUCAAAGAAGUGUGACUGGCCCAAGGUCACCCAGCAGCUGCAUGUGGAGGAGCGGAGAUGCGAACCCGGUUCACCAGAUUACAAGUCCACCUCUCUUAACCACUAUAGGUAAAGGUAAAGGGACCCCUGACCGUUAGGUCCAGUCGUGACUGACUCUGGGGUUGCGGCGCUCAUCUCGCUUUAUUGGCCCAGGGAGCCGGCGUACAACUUCUGGGUCAUGUGGCCAGCAUGACUGAGCCGCUUCUGGCGAACCAGAGCAGCGCACGGAAACGCCGUUUACCUUCCCGCCGGAGUGGUACCUCUUUAUAUAGUUGCACUUUGACGUGCUUUCGAACUGCUAGGUUGGCAGGAGCAGGGACCAAGCAAUGGGAGCUCACCCCGUCGCAGGGAUUCGAACCGCUGACCUUCUGAUUGGCAAGUCCUAGGCUCUGUGGUUUAACCCACAGCGCCACCCACGUCCCCUUAACCACUACACCACACUGGAUAAGGCGGUCCAUGGCCACAACUAACCACGAUACCCCGGCUCUGCCUCCACAGUCAGAGGUAUUGAUGCUUCCAAACACCCGUUGACCUGGAGGGGAGAGGGCUCUUGUGCUCGGGUGCUGCUUUUGGGUUUCCCAUGGGCAUGUGGUUGGCCACUGCGAGAACAGGAUGCUGGCUAUCUGGCAUAGUUCAGUCGGUAGAGCAUAAGACUCUUAAUCUCAGGGUCAUGGGUUCGAGUCCCACCUUGGGCAAAAAAAUAAAUAAAUCCUGCAUUGCAGGGGGUGAGUCUAGAUGACUUUGAAAAAGAAUGGGAACCAUUUAUAUUAUACUUGCAGAAACAAAGAAAGUCUAUAGACUUGAUGGCAGGAUUUAAAUAAGCGUUCACAUUAUUAGCAUUAGAAAAUGUGUGGAAGAUAAAUAGUAUGAUGUAUUCAUUGUUAUGUUUAUGUUUCUAGGUUUGAUGUUGGUGUUAUGUACUGAGUUGAAUAGGAUCCAAAAGGCAGCAGUCUGAUUGGUCCUAGUACAAUGGGAUUCAGAAUGCAGCAGUCUGAUUGGUCCUAGAACAAUAGGGUCCAGAAUGCAGCAGUCUGAUUGGUCCACAGGAGCCACCCAAUCCAGCUCCAGGUGGAAGUGAAUCCGCAACCUGAUUGGCCUACAGGAGAAUCCCGGAAUUAGCCAAUCACGUGGGGCCCAUUGUGUAAAUAAUGUAUAUAAAGAAGACAUUCUGUGGGAACUUCCAUUCCUCCUCACCACUGUGAGCUGAAUAAAGAACAUGAAAUCCA